GCUAGUAAUGGCAGGUCAGCAUACUGCCGUGAAUACGUUCCCGGGCCUUGUACACACCGCCCGUCACACCAUGGGAGCCGGUAAUACCCGAAGUCAGUAGUCCAACCACGUGAGGACGCUGCUGAAGGUAGGAUUGGCGACUGGGGUGAAGUCGUAACAAGGUAAC
rnacentral:rRNA from 1 species